UACGUAGGUGACAAGCGUUGUCCGGAUUUACUGGGCGUAAAGAGCGCGCAGGCGGUCGUUCAAGUCGAGUGUGAAAGCCCCCGACUCAAUCGGGGAACUGCCAUAGAUACUGUUAUUCUUGAGUGUGGUUGAGGCGGAUGGAAUAUGACAUGUAGCGGUGAAAUGCUUAGAUAUGUCAUAGAACACCGAUCGCGAAGGCAGUCCGCCAAACCAUUACUGACACUGAAACACGAAAGUGCGGGGAUCAAACAGG
rnacentral:rRNA from 1 species